rnacentral:rRNA from 1 species
GAGACCCACGCCAACAGUUGCCAGCAUGUCCUCCGGGAUGGUGGGGACACUGUUGGGACCGCCUCUGCUAAAGAGGAGGAAGGAAUGGGCAACGGUAAGUCAGCAUGCCCCGAAUUAUCCGGGCUACACGCGGGCUACAAUGGUCAGGACAAUGGGUAUCGACACCGAGAGGUGAAGGCAAUCUCUUAAACCUGUCCUUAGUUCGGAUUGUGGGCUGCAACUCGCCCACAUGAAGCUGGAAUCCGUAGUAAUCGCGUCUCAAAAUGGCGCGGUGAAUAU